GUGCUGGGAUAAUAGGCGUGAGCCACCACGCCUGCCCCACAAAGAAUUACAAAUAAAGCUUUCACUCUUCUUAUGUAAAGACCUGACAAUGCAUACAAUGGUCCACUGUUGAUUUGGAAGCAGGGACAGUUUUCUAUUACAGUCUGUUGAUUGUAUUGUAUAAUUGUUAAGGGAAAAAAGGAAAAUUAUAUUUCUGUUUGUUUGUUUGUUUGUUUUGAGAUGGAGUCUAGCUCUGUCACCCAGGUUGGAGUGCAGUGGUGCGAUCUCAGCUCACUGCGACCUCCACCUCCCUGGUUCACAAGCAAUUCUCCUGCCUCAGCCUCUUGAGUGGCUGGGGUUACAGACAUGCGCCACCACGCCCAGCUAAUUUUUGCAUUUUUAGUAGAGACAGGGUUUCACCAUGUUGGCUAGGCUGGUCUCCAACUUCUGGGCUCCAGUGAUCCACCCACUUCAGCCUCCCAAAGUGCUGGGAUUACAGGCGUGAGCCACCAUGUCCGCCCACCCCCCCGGUAUUUCUUAUUGGAACUGUUUUUCUUGUUUGAGGUUUCUUUUCCAUACCCUGAAUCUACAAUGACCCAACCAUAACCUUGCUUCUGAGGCCCGUUCUCUGAUGAGAAAGUUUAGUUCCAAAUGGGGAAAGUACCUGAGUUCCAGCCUUUUCAGCCUGACUUUGCAUCUAUUUAGAGAUAGGGUCUUACAGGGGUGAUCACGUUAAAAUGAGGUCAUUAGGGUAAGCCCUGAUCCAAUAUGACUGAUGUUCUUAUAAAAGGGGGGCUUUGGCUGGAUGUGAUAGGGGGGCUCCUGCCUGUAAUUCCAGCACUUUGGGAGGCCAAGCCAGGUGGAUUGCUUGAGCCUAGAGGCUUGAGACCAGUCAUGGGCAACAUAGCAAGACCCCGUCUCUACAAAAAAUACAAAAAUUUGCUGGGUGUGGUGGUGCAUACCUGUAGUCCCAGCUGCUAGGGAGGCUGAGAUGGGAGAUCACUAGAACCUUGAGGUCAAGGCUGCAGUGAGCUGUGAUUACCACUGCAAUCCGCUCUGUGUGACACAGCAAGAUCCUGUCUCCAAAAGAAGUGAGGGUAGGGGGUGGAAUUUGGACACAGACACACACAGGGAGAGCACCACGUGGAGAAGAAAAUGGAAUCCAUGGUCAGGCUCGGUGGUUCAUGCCUGUAAUCCCAGCACUUUGGUGGAUCACUGGAGGUCAGGAGUUUGAGAUCAGCCUGGCCAACAAAGCGAAACCUCGUCUCUACUAAAAAUACACAAGUUAGCCGGGUGUGGAGGCGUUCACUUGUCAUCCCAGCAUCCCAGCUACUCCGUCUCAAAAAAAAAAAAAAAAAAAAAGGAAAAUGUCAUCUACAAGCCAAGGAGAGAGGCCUGGAACAGAGCCUUCCCUUACAGCCCUCAGACGGAACCACAUCUGCCAAUGCCUUGGUUUUGGACUUCCAGCCUCUAGAACUGUUAGACAAUAAAUUUCUGCUGUUGAAGCCCCCAAUAUGAGCUACUUUGUUAUAACAGCCAUAUCAAUUUAAAAAGAGAAUUAAAGGAGUUGAUAAUUUUUUUUUUUUUUUUUUUUUGAGAUGGAGUCUCACUCUGUCACCCAAGCAGACUGCAAUGGCACGAUCUCAGCUCACUGCAACCUCCGCUCCCGGGCUCAAGCGAUUCUCCCACCUUACCCUCCCGAGUAAGUAGCUGGGUCUACAGGCGCAUGCCACCAUGUCUGGCUGAUUUUUCUAUUUUUGGUAGAGACAGGGUUUAGCCAUGUUGGCCAGGCUGGUCUUGAACUCCUGACUUCAAGUGAUCCACCCGCCUGGGUCUCUCAAAGUGUAGGGAUUACAGGCGUGAGCCACUGCACCCAGCCAGGAAUUGAUACUUUAAUACACUUUCAAUGCACAGUGUCUGGCUCCUGGUUAGCAUUCAUUAAACGGUAGCAAUUAUUAAGGACACUCAAAUGGACAGAAAGAAUGUUACAGAAACACAAUGGUACAAUAGAGGGGUUGCGGCCAGGCACAGUGGCUCACACCUGUAAUCCCAGCACUUUGGGAGGCUGAGGUGGGUGGAUCACGAGGUCAGGAGUUCGAGACCAGCCUGGCCAAUAUGGUGAAACCCCACCUCUACUAAACAUAGAAAAAUUAGCUGGGCAUGGUGACAGGCACCUGUAAUCCCAGCUACUCGGGAGGCCGAGGCAGGAGAAUUGCUUGAACCUAGGAGGUGGAGGUUGCAGUGAGCUGAGACUUUGCCAUUGCACCCCAGCCUGGGUGACACAGCGAGACUCCAUGUCAAAAAAAAAAAAAAAAAAAAAGGCUGAUUCAAAAAGCUGGCAAGCAAGGCCAAUAAUAGAGAGAGUAAAAAUACUAUGAGAGAUAGUGAAAUAAGAGAUAGUGAAAAUAGUAUACAUUGAGC
rnacentral:lncRNA from 1 species